rnacentral:lncRNA from 1 species
UAUGAUCGUUGAAUCUCACACAUCGUGACCACGAUUUGGCGUUGAUUGAUUAUUGCUUAUGCAGUGCAUCUGGAGAAACCAACAGCAUGGUAAAUGUUCAGGCAACUCAUCUGUUUCAAGCAAAGAUUGAUCUAAUAGCUCCAGGUCCGGUUCCAGCCAGGAUGGACCUGUUGGCUACAGGUCCAGCCAAGCAGGAUCUGCUGCCUCCAGGUCCAGUUCCAGCCAAGCAGGACCUGCUGGCUCCAGGUCCAGUUCCAGAAAAGGUCAACAACUGUACACAACUGGUACCAGACCACGGAACCCAAAAUCCAGCUUCGCAAUCUAUCACGAUGCAUGAUUUUCAGAUGAUGAAGGUAACCAAGAGCCUGAGGAAACAAAGAAAACUACAAAAAAUGAAGUCCUGCCAUCAACAUACUGCAGAUGAAAAGACCGGAAGGUGACGCGGUGACAACUUACCGUAAGACAGAGCAGACAGGCAGCCUACUUCACAAUAUUCCAUGGCGAUGUACACAUGGGACUCACUGUAGAGGACAGAAAAGGAUGAGGGUGUGUCAGUCACAUGGUCUUAGAGCUGUGUGCUUUGCAUUCAGGGACCUUGACUGGUAAAUCUCUUUUGGGUUGUUUUGUUUGUUCAAUUAUCAUCAUUAUUUAUUAAUAAGAAUAAUAAAUGUUGUUAUUAACUGGUUAUUUAGAACCGA